rnacentral:rRNA from 1 species
CGGACGGGUGAGUAAUGUCUGGGAAACUGCCUGAUGGAGGGGGAUAACUACUGGAAACGGUAGCUAAUACCGCAUAACGUCGCAAGACCAAAGAGGGGGACCUUAGGGCCUCUUGCCAUCGGAUGUGCCCAGAUGGGAUUAGCUGGUAGGUGGGGUAACGGCUCACCUAGGCGACGAUCCCUAGCUGGUCUGAGAGGAUGACCAGCCACACUGGAACUGAGACACGGUCCAG